UCACCACUCUGGCCUUCUGGCUUAGAUCAAGUGUAGUAUCUGUUCUUUUAGUCUUAAUCGACUAAACGCUGUCACCGACAGCUCUAUCGAUUAUUCAAUUUUUGCCGCCCGGGUGGCCUGCUCCUCUGCUUGCACGAGUAGCCACAAGAUGAUCUUGCCAUUACAGCACUGGCUUGUGUCGUCGCGGGAU
rnacentral:snRNA from 1 species